CGCACAUUGCGCCCCUUGGUAUUCCGAGGGGCAUGCCUGUUCGAGCGUCAUUACACCACUCAAGCCUGGCUUGGUAUUGGGCGUCCCGCGGCCUCACCGCCGCGCGCCCCAAUGUCCUCGGCUGAGCCGUCCGUCUCUAAGCGUUGUGGUCAUUCAAUUCGCUUGCGAGGCAGGGUCGGUUCGACGCCGUCAAACCGUUCUACUCAAGGUUGACCUCGGAUCAGGUAGGGAUACCCGCUGAACUUAA
rnacentral:misc_RNA from 1 species